UGCAAGUCGAACGAUGAAGACCGUGCUUGCACGGUUGGAUUAGUGGCGAACGGGUGAGUAUCACGUGAGUAACCUUCCCUUAACUCUGGGAUAAGCCCGGGAAACUGGGUCUAAUACCGGAUACGACCAGUCCUCGCAUGGGGUGCUGGUGGAAAGAUUUAUCGGUUUUGGAUGGACUCGCGGCCUAUCAGCUUGUUGGUGAGGUAAUGGCUCACCAAGGCGAUGACGGGUAGCCGGCCUGAGAGGGUGACCGGCCACACUGGGACUGAGACACGGCCCAGACUCCUACGGGAGGCAGCAGUGGGGAAUAUUGCACAAUGGGCGAAAGCCUGAUGCAGCGACGCCGCGUGCGGGAUGACGGCCUUCGGGUUGUAAACCGCUUUCAGCAGGGAAGAAGCGAAAGUGACGGUACCUGCAGAAGAAGCGCCGGCUAACUACGUGCCAGCAGCCGCGGUAAUACGUAGGGCGCGAGCGUUAUCCGGAAUUAUUGGGCGUAAAGAGCUCGUAGGCGGUUUGUCACGUCUGCUGUGAAAGCCCGGGGCUCAACCCCGGGUGUGCAGUGGGUACGGGCAGACUAGAGUGCAGUAGGGGAGACUGGAAUUCCUGGUGUAGCGGUGAAAUGCGCAGAUAUCAGGAGGAACACCGAUGGCGAAGGCAGGUCUCUGGGCUGUUACUGACGCUGAGGAGCGAAAGCAUGGGGAGCGAACAGGAUUAGAUACCCUGGUAGUCCAUGCCGUAAACGUUGGGCACUAGGUGUGGGGAACAUUCCACGUUUUCCGCGCCGUAGCUAACGCAUUAAGUGCCCCGCCUGGGGAGUACGGCCGCAAGGCUAAAACUCAAAGGAAUUGACGGGGGCCCGCACAAGCGGCGGAGCAUGCGGAUUAAUUCGAUGCAACGCGAAGAACCUUACCAAGGCUUGACAUGGACCGGACCGCUGCAGAGAUGCAGCUUCCCUUC
rnacentral:rRNA from 1 species